AUUAUGAGGCCUUGAGUAGUGACUUGGCAUGGAAAAUUCAAGCAGAGAGGAAGAGAUGGGAACCCCUACUCAGGGUCAUGUUGCACCAAUAGAUAGCUCUAUGUCCUUUCAGACAGGAGAAGGAGCUGUAACAUUUAUAGCCUGCUUGGUCAUGUUGAAGUUGGCUGAAGUUUCUCCUGAUAUUUCUUCUGUACUUAGGUUUUCUGUUGUUGGAGAAGACACACACUCAUUUUAUUGCAGAGAGGAAGGUUUCCUUCUGGAGUUCCAUGAACUGGGUUUAUCCUGAGACAAGAGCAACUCUUGGAGUCAGCUAUUGGCCCAGAUGUCUUCCCCGUUUCAGAAGCCAGCAUUAAGCAGUGGUGACUUGGUCCCUGUUGUCCGUAUAGGAGUGUUGGUUUGUUCUGCAUACAAGCAUAGACAGCAAAUGCAAAGAUUUCCUGAAACUCCCAGUGGUAACUGCCCGAGUAGGAUACCUCUCUUUCUGAAGAAUCUGGAGAGGUUCUUAACCAUUGGAACAUUGAUUUUGAGUUUUGCCCAGUUAAAGAGGAACUUGAGUGAUAUCUUUUGGGAAAAAAUCAAGCAGUGUCAAGAAGGCUCACCUUGAAUAGAUACUCAAAGCACCAGUUUGGAGAAGGUGAGUACCUAAUUUUCAGGAUUGAAGAGACUGAUUAAGACAGAUGAUAUAAUGGAGGGAUCUCCUUGUUAUCAUCUUCGUAAGUAACACCAUCCCACACCUUUCCUAAUUGCUUCACUCCUGGCUAGUGCAGAUGACUUCAAGUUAUCUGGGCUCAGAUUCUUUGUUUUGCUGAAGUUAGAUGGAAGCUGUACAUCUGACCACACCUUUUGAAUUUGAAGCUUAGUAAUCAACUAAAAAAUCUCCUCUGU